CAGAGGAUCCGAAGUGGGCUCUGCAGAGAGCAAUGAGUCUGACACAGGGCUCGAACUUCACGAACUGUGAGAUCAUGACCUGAGCCAAAGUUGGAUGCUCAACCAACUGAGCCACCCAGGUGUCCCUAAAUGUCAUCUUUUAAAUCUCAAUGGCAAAGAGGCACAGAAUAUAAAAACUAAUGAGCAUACAGUUUUCAAAACCAUGCAAAGAUGGCACAUGCUAAUGUCAGGAUUCUGAUAAUAUGUACAUAUGCUUAUAAGUAAAACUCUCAGGGUAAAUUUAUGACUAAAUGAGGAAUUAGUCUGGUUAACAUCUAUUUAGUAUAUAAGAAGCUGAAGAAUGGUGACACUAUAUUCUGGAGCUAAGAUUACCAUUGGAAGUAAUGUACUAGUGAAUUCAAAGCAGAAAAGAUAAGGUUAGCUUGCCGAAGGAAAGUAGGAAGAAUCAAACAGAAUUUACUAAGUCUUGCCAAUGUGGAAAAGACACAGCCCAGUUAAUGUUAUAGACAUCUAUAAAAACGAAUGUAUCAACGGAUGGUAUACAGGAAGUCCAAAGGACCCAGACGGUUUCAGGGUCAUUCUAGCACUGUUUGAGGAAGAGUGUGCCUUCCUGGAUGCCGUAGGUUACUACAGUUCAGCGACACUGGUUAUCAAGAUCAUAACAUCAACUCUUUGUUAUUAUUGGCUCAAAAUUUUCUAUUUAUAAUUUGACUAUCCAUAUAUAGAUUUUCUCAAAAAGUGGGGGAUGUGAUGAUCAUCUUGAUACAAGGAAUUAGAUCUAUACUCUGCCACUGACUUGGGCAUCAGGGAUUUGAGUCAGAAACAUGGCUCUGCCCUUUGCUGCUGUCACCUGCAGCAGGAACACACUCCUGAUCAGGAAAGUUCACAUGACGUUUCUGCCUCUGAAAGAUUAAGGUCAAGAUGAAGUAAAUUCUGUUCUAGGAAAUCCCGCCUGAGAGGUCAGCUUCUCCCUAUCUCACUAUUUUGAUGCAGAAACCUUUCAGGAUCACGAAAGGCUCAUUACCUCUCCAGUGCCACACAGGAGAGUCUGGGCUUUGGAUCUGGGCUGCCCGGAGUUAGUACUGGCACCAUCACUUACGACCGGGGAGAUCCCGAGCAGGACAACCUAAAGCCUCUCAAUCUCAAAUUCCUCACAUUCCACCUGCUAACCAUACCGACCUGAUGGGGCUGCUGUGGACUAAAUACACUUAGUGAACACACACAAAGAACUUCCAACAUGCCAUGUAUGAGACUCCUGUCACAUCUCACAUAGACCUCAUCCGUGUUGUCUCAAGUAAAUUUCAGAAGGCGAGCCUUUGCUGUAAAUGUAAAGAAAAAUCCCAGAUUUGACUCAAUUGCUUGUUUCAGAAGACCAAAAGCUGUUCACCAGGGGACAGGGAUGCUCAGGCACUGGAGCAGGGACAGACAGGCCGCACGGGCAGCAGACAUCUGUGUGAAUGCAUUCUUAAGCUGUUUCCGUGAGGAACUAAGGAUUCAGUCUGAUUCUCGUGAGGAGACGCUGCUAUCACACACAGACCCCACGAGUUGUUUUGGCGGGAAAGGCAGAAGCUGAGUGUGGCUGCAGAGACCGAGAGUCCCACAGUUGUCAGCCCACCUCCA